rnacentral:piRNA from 1 species
UAGACUUUGCCUGUUUGGGAUACGUGGUCUC